rnacentral:rRNA from 1 species
GACGAACGCUGGCGGCGUGCUUAACACAUGCAAGUCGAACGGAAAGGCCCUGCUUUUGUGGGGUGCUCGAGUGGCGAACGGGUGAGUAACACGUGAGUAACCUGCCCUUGACUUUGGGAUAACUUCAGUAAACUGGGGCUAAUACCGGGUAGGAGCUCCUGCUGCAUGGUGGGGGUUGGAAAGUUUCGGCGGUUGGGGAUGGACUCGCGGCUUAUCAGCUUGUUGGUGGGGUAGUGGCUUACCAAGGCUUUGACGGGUAGCCGGCCUGAGAGGGUGACCGGCCACAUUGGGACUGAGAUACGGCCCAGACUCCUACGGGAGGCAGCAGUGGGGAAUAUUGCACAAUGGGCGGAAGCCUGAUGCAGCAACGCCGCGUGCGGGAUGACGGCCUUCGGGUUGUAAACCGCUUUCGCCUGUGACGAAGCGUGAGUGACGGUAAUGGGUAAAGAAGCACCGGCUAACUACGUG